UCACGCAGCACGCAACGGCAGUGCCAUAGUAACCGCGGACGUCACAGCAGCGACUCUCGCGCGCGGGGCGACGGUCUGGCGAAGGAACACUCACGUCUCAGGAGCCAGAGCAAAUCCCGCUCCUCGCGUAGUGGUGCCGGCUGGUUCCGUCAGAGCCGUGUCGCGAGCUGCUCGUAGCUAGGGCACGCGGCACCCCGCCAGGCAGCUCGGGCCGGGGGCAGUGUGCCAGGGUAGGGCGGAGGAGGUGAGGUGUUUCUAGCCCAGGGUGGCUGUGCCAGGGCAGGGCUAGCGAGAAGGCUGCACACAGGCGCUAUGGAAGUGUAAGCAGAGUCAGAACAGGCUCUAUCCUGACAUCUGGUGGGGGAGAGCCUGAAGAUAUAUUGGUGAGUGUCUAACGGGACAGCUGGUGGAGAGGAGCAGCUCAGGGUGAAGACUGCAGCAGAACCCCACGGAGAGGCAUGGCAAUUGACCAUCAACACGAGCAGCGGAGCACGGAACCCCUAUGUGCUGAACCCGGCCCUUGACUGCUGUCAACUCGGCCUCGCAGAAGGGUUACAGAAGAAAAAGAGAGAGAAGAAAGAGAGAAAGAAAAAACCAGCUGGACCUAUUAAAGAAGCAGAACCAGAACCCCCUGGCCCCAACGAUUUCCAUCACUCUCAAAAUCCACAAAUGGGAACACUUAUGUCCUGCAUACAGUGAGGACGAUGAUAUUGCGGAAUAUCUGACUACCUUUGAAAGACUGUAAUACAUGAAAUCCCUGAUGAUAAGAGAGUUCUUACCCUGAUUGCAAAAUUAACUGGUAAAGCUUGAAAUGUAUUCAAUGGAAUGCCUAUUGAAGAUGCUUUAGACUAUUGUCAACUUAAAGAUACUGUUCUGCAUAGUUUUCAGAUUACCCCCAAUCAUAUAGAAUUAAAUUUAGGAAUCUUAAAAGGGUUAUUGGGAUGAGUAAUGGGUAAUAUGUAAACAAAAUGAAAUAUUUGUUGGGAAAAUGGGUGAGGGGUAAAGAGGUGGCAAGUUUUGAAGAAAUGCUUGAUCUUGUUGCUUAAGAGCAUUUCUUAAGCAUAUGUAAGGCUGAAGUAAAGCAGUGUCUGUGGGACAAAGAUGUAAAGACUGUGGAUGAGAUGUUUCUUUUUAGCUGAUGGCUCUGAAAAGACUCAGGCGUCUAUUGAGGGCAGGUCACAGA